rnacentral:rRNA from 1 species
GAUGAACGCUGGCGGCGUGCCUAAUACAUGCAAGUCGAGCGAACAGACGAGGAGCUUGCUCCUCUGACGUUAGCGGCGGACGGGUGAGUAACACGUGGAUAACCUACCUAUAAGACUGGGAUAACUUCGGGAAACCGGAGCUAAUACCGGAUAAUAUAUUGAACCGCAUGGUUCAAUAGUGAAAGACGGUUUUGCUGUCACUUAUAGAUGGAUCCGCGCCGCAUUAGCUAGUUGGUAAGGUAACGGCUUACCAAGGCAACGAUGCGUAGCCGACCUGAGUGUGUGAUCGUCCACACUGGAACGGGGACACGGUCCAGACUCCGACGGUAGGCGGCAAUAGGGAAGCUUCCGCAAUGGGCGAAAGCUUGACGGUGCAACGGCGCGGGAGUGAUAAAAAUUUUCGGAUCGUAAAACUCUGUUAUUAGGGAAGAACAAAUGUGAAAGUAACUAUGCACGUCUUGACGGUACCUAAUCAGAAAGCCACGGGUAACUACAUG